CCUUAUAUCAAAAUAAUUUUAAAUUUUAGAUUAAAUAUUAGAUAUAAUCUAACAAGCAUACAUAGAGAUUAAAUCUCAAAAUAAACUAGGCAUUAUCAUUAAUUACAAGAUUAAAAAUCUAAAAGAGAAUCUGAAUUUCAUAUCUUUGCGCUGAUAGAUCUUCACCACGGUCCAAUGAUCCAAUGAUCUGAGAAUGUCUUCGAGGUCCCAUUGUAGCUGUACAAGUCUUUGGUCUCUACAAAUAUCCAUAAGAUUGAUUUAAUCAGGAGGUCUCAAUCUCAUUGGGGUGCUAGCUUUCUUGUAG
rnacentral:lncRNA from 1 species